AUUGAAUUUUAAGGGGGCCAUUGAAGGAGCGUUCACGUCGCGGUCCCUGUCAGGUGUUUUUGCACCUGCGAAUCCUUCA
rnacentral:ribozyme from 1 species